CCUACGGGAGGCAGCAGUGAGGAAUAUUGGUCAAUGGGCGCGAGCCUGAACCAGCCAAGUCGCGUGAGGGAAGACGGUCCUAUGGAUUGUAAACCUCUUUUGUCGGGGAGCAAAAGACGCCACGCGUGGCGUUCCGAGAGUACCCGAAGAAAAAGCAUCGGCUAACUCCGUGCCAGCAGCCGCGGUAAUACGGAGGAUGCGAGCGUUAUCCGGAUUUAUUGGGGUUAAAGGGUGCGCAGGCGGAAGGUCAAGUCAGCGGGAAAAUUGAGAGGCUCAACCUCUUCGAGCCGUUGAAACUGGUUUUCUUGAGUGAGCGAGAAGUAUGCAGAAUGCGUGGUGUAGCGGUGAAAUGCAUAGAUAUCACGCAGAACUCCGAUUGCGAAGGCAGCAUACCGGCGCUCAACUGACGCUCAUGCACGAAAGUGUGGGUAUCGAACAGGAUUAGAUACCCGAGUAGUC
rnacentral:rRNA from 1 species